rnacentral:lncRNA from 1 species
GUCACGUGGAGUUUGUUACGGAGAGUGGUAUCCGUUGUCGUGACUUGUCAGAGUGGAGUAGGGUAGCGGCCCUCGUUAUGGCUUGCCAGAGAGUGGUGGAGCCAUGUAGAAUUCGUUGCAGAGAGUGGAGCAGGGUAGCGGCCCUCAUCGUGGCUUGCUAGAGAGUGGUGGAGCCACGUGGAAUCCAUUGCAGAGAGUGGAGCAGGGUAGCGGCCCUCAUCGUGGCUUGCCAGAGAGUGGUGGAGCCAUGUGGAAUCCAUUGCAGAGAGUGGAGCAGGGUAGUGGCCCUC